ensembl:lncRNA
AUCACCCCAAAAAAGAUGUCAUGUGGUUGAGGAUUUGAGAUUUGGAUUUCCUCAGAAAAAAGAAUGAAGCACUUUAUUCAGCAGAGAUCAUAAACAUGAGUAAGUCUCUUUUUAUUUAUUUAUAUACUUGUACUAGAUUUCACAUAACGUGUAAACAUUUUACUAGUUAGACUUUUUCCAAAGACUUUUUCCAAACUAUAAUUCCUGACUAAAUGUAUAAUCAAGUGAAAUAUUAUGAAGUUUCAAUAACAAUAUACACUACUAUACCAUUCAAAAGCUUGAUGUAAAUAAUAUAAAUGUAACAAUAAAUGUAACUGUAACAAAUGUAACAAUCAUUGCUGUUCUUUCAAUUUAUCCCCCCUAAAAAACCUAAAAAAAAUAUUCUCAGCUCUUUUCAACAUUAAUAAUAACAAUAAUAAUAAUAAUAAUAAUAAUAAUAAUAAUAAUAAUAAUGAUAAUAAUAACAAUAAAUGUUUUUUUGUAGAAAAUAAGAUUGUUAAAAGGAUUUCUGAAGGAUUGUGUGACUGGAGUAAUGAUAGCAAAAAAUAUAAAAUAAAACAAAGCAAAGAACAAGUGACUUAUCAUUUAUUAUACUACAUAGCAUUAUACAUCAGUAGUUGUUCGUGACAAACAAUGUUGAUCUGCUGUGGUACAAGUCCUUGUGGAGAUCGAAAGAAUGCCAUCUUCUCCUGUUCCAUUGUUGUCUCCUUUUUGUAUUUUUAAAUAAUGAUCUAAUAAUUUGAUAUUUAUUUGCUGCCGUCAUGGCUGUAAUGCUUCUCCGAUGAGCCGCUUCUUCUUUGGCUUUUGCCAUGGUACUGCGGAUUACACCAGCAACAUGCCUCUGGACACUGCAGACUAACGGUUUGCAUGUGUACUGCACGUCGACGCGGAAAAUGAUGCAGAAGUAUAAAUGACAACUGAUGCAUAGCCUAUGGCGUAGGUCUGACACAGAAGUAUAAAUGGUCCACAAGCCUGAUCUCAUCAGAACAUAACUUUCCACGUGCUGUUUGGAAAGGAGUCUUGCCAUCUUGACCGCUGUUCACUACAUAAUUCUAAUAGAAUCUGCAAUCGACAUUAUGUUUACAUUUAUUCAUUUAUCCAGAGUGACUUACAAAUGAAGAACAUCACAAGUAAUUUGAUGUAAUGGCCAAGCAACAUCUCCUAAUACCAAGUAUAAGUACGGUAAAGAAGAAAGAACUAUAUUCAUAUAUAUUCAUCUGCAGUUAUGGCCUUCUUGAGGAAAUCUGGUACAUUGGUAGGGGUUUGAAGCAAGUUAUUAGCCACUGCAGCACAAUGUAACUUCUGCUCUGGUAGCAGAAGCCACGUAAUUAAUUUAGCCUUUUUGGCUUGUUUUCAUUUUGAAAGUACAUGUUUCUGUCAAUUAGUUCAAAAUAAGUUUUACACUUCACAACAUGCUUUGCACAGGGCUGUAUAUCAAGAGAGAAAAUACUGAAAUAAAAUGUUAUAUUUUAUGCAAUUUUAAGCAAAAUGAGAAAAUAAGGAGAUUUUUGAAAGUCUAAUGUUAUGUUAUGUUGGCAUUUAAAGAGACUUUCUGUUAUGUUGGUGGUUUUUGGGCGAGUUACUAUUGUGGAGUGUUCUUGGGUUGAGGAGCUGCUAAAAGGACUUUAAUUAAAAAAGCAAAGCAACUCAAAUGGAAGUGCUACAGAUGUACACAACACUAUCCUUAAAUUGCCAACAACUAACAUCAUAUGUGUAAAGAAAAGUUGUAUUUAACUUGUAUGUUAUUAUAACACUUUGGAUGAACUUGCAUUGACAGUGGUUCUAUAUGAUGGAAAUCUCUACUCAUAUAUUUCAUGUAGGACAAACUAAAGCAAACUGAGCAAUUAAAAUUAGACAUAACU